rnacentral:SRP_RNA from 5 species
GGUGGCCCCAUCGGUCCCCCCGCAUUGAUUACCCGUUAACCUGGUCAGGCCCGGAAGGGAGCAGCCAUAGCGGGAACAUCGAGUGCCGGGGUGUGGCUGGUGGGGCCGCCUCCAUU